GAAUAAAUUAAAAAUUAUAUAUAUAUAAAUUAUAUAUGUACCAAUUAUGUAUAAAAGCCAUCAGAUAAUUGUGUGUAGAGGUCUAGAGGAAUCAGUUUGCCGAGACUGAAGAGACCUUCUAGAUGGGAAAAUUUGGCAAACACCUUUCUCUCUGGGGGCGUUUAUCAAGUCUGAUCAUGGGCUGAGGUUUCAGUACAGACUGGCAGACCCUGCUGCGGGAAAGAGAAAUCAGGCGCUCUCCAUAGAUGGAUGGCAGAGCUACUUGAAAUUUGGAUGAGUCCUAAUGCCGAGCUUUCUUUUCUCUGCCAUAUUCCUCCACCAGACCAUCUCUAGGGUUAUAUAGCAGGGAGACUGGGACUGAAAUACUCAAUAAACACUAUUUCUGUGUCUCAGUACUUAGUAGCCAAACUCUGCAAGAUGAAGAGGUUCAUUAGGAACGUAGAAGAGCUCACACCUUUGUUUAAAGUGGCAACGCGCAUCUCACUCAGCUCAGUUCCUAAUUAUUUCAAAAUGAUCUGCUUCUCCUCCUGUCUGCUUGAUGAGGGAAAAGAUGCGCAUUAUGUACGUAUAUAUAAUAGUCCACACCUGCUACGUGCAGACUCUCAAUCCAUUGCCCCUCCAGCCUCGCCCACUCUUGGUGACCGUAUGUCUGUUCUCUAUGUGAGUCUGCUUCUGUUUCCUGGAUGA
rnacentral:lncRNA from 1 species